rnacentral:misc_RNA from 1 species
GGAAGGAUCAUUGAAUUAUUGAAUCAACAUGGUAACUUAUUGUAUCGCCGGCAAGGGGCCGUUGGGGAUAAACUCCCAAUUGUGUCUGAGGGAUGGCUUCGGUACGGAAAUGUCCGAUGGAGAAGGACUGCCAGAUUCAUCCCCCAAUGCGGCUGACAGGCCAGAAUGGGUUACGCCCUACUGAGAGACUGUUGCCCCUUGUUGAGAAGCACCCUCAAUCAACCCAAAAAACACAUCAAUCAACCCACUCAAAACCCAACCCCUAAAGUUUAGACGCUGGCUUUGGCUGGCGUCGACAGACACAAAGACAACUCUCAACAACGGAUAUCUUGGCUCUCGCAACGAUGAAGAACGCAGCGAAAUGCGAUACGUAGUGUGAAUUGCAGAAUUCCGUGAAUCAUCGAAUCUUUGAACGCAUAUUGCACCCGCGGCUUCGGCCAAGGGUAUGUCUGCCUCAGCGUCGGUUUAUACCCUCGCUUCUCCACAACACCCGUUCCCCUCUCACUCGGAGAGCACGCGAGGAUGUGGCUUGGUCCGAACACUCGGACCUCAGAAGCGGAUCUGGCUUUCCCAAAGGUGCACUCGCAUCAUUGGGUUAGCUGAAACACAGAGGCGGGAGACGGACCCCUGGGUCUCAACUGGAUAGGUAGAACAGUCUUUUCAGGUUGACUACACGAAGUUGGGACUCCGAACUCCAGACCCUGCCUGCAGGAAUCGUGGCUUGUCCACGAAACUAAACAUUCGACCUGAGCUCAGGCAAGAUUACCCGCUGAACUUAAGCAUAUCACUAAGCGGAGGAAGAGAAACUAACAAGGAUGCGCUUAGUAACGGCGAGCGAACCGCGCAAAGCCCAGCUUGAAAAUCUCCCUUUGGAGAAUUGUAGUCUAUAGAAGUACCCUCUGCAGCGAGCGGGGCCCAAGUCCUCUGGAAAGGGGCGUCAGAGAGGGUGAGAACCCCGUCGGCCCUCGCUUUGCUGCCUCACGAGGUGCUUUCGCAGAGUCGGGUUGCUUGGGAAUGCAGCCCUAAUUUGGUGGUAAAUCCCAUCUAAGGCUAAAUACUGGCGAGAGACCGAUAGCGAACAAGUACCGUGAGGGAAAGAUGAAAAGAACUUUGAAAAGAGAGUUAAAAAGUGCUUGAAAUUGUUGAGGGGAAGCGAUUGGAGGCUAUGGGUGCGCCUAGGCUUAUGCGUCCUUAACGGGCCGCUGUAUGUGCUAGGUGCUGGUCAGCAAGGGUUGGAUCGGUAGGAUAACAGCUGGGGUUGAUACCCAGCCUAUGCUACCGGCCCGACCAAGGUGUGAAGGCUGCUCUAGUCCCUCGGGAUCUGCAGCCUCAAGUUGCUGGCGUAAGGUUUCCAAUCGACCCGUCUUGAAACACGGACCAAGGAGUCUAACAUGUAUGCGAGUUGGUGGGUGGAAAACCCAUGAAGCGCAAGGAAACUGACUGGUGGGAUGGCCUGUGCCUGCACCAUCGACCGACCAUGAGCUUCUGCGAAAGGUUUGAGUGCGAGCAUACCUGUUGGGACCCGAAAGAUGGUGAACUAUGCCUGAGCAGGGCGAAGCCAGAGGAAACUCUGGUGGAGGCUCGUAGAUGUGCUGACGUGCAAAUCGCUUUUCGGACUUGGGUAUAGGGGCGAAAGACUAAUCGAACCAUCUAGUAGCUGGUUCCCUC